UCAACAACAGUUACACUGCAUUUCUUGGUCACUGAAUCCCAUUUUUUUUUUUAAUGCUGCUUCAAGUAUGGUUUACACACAGGAGUCUUAAGAAAACAUUCUGGCACUGUCAAGUUUAAGGAUUCAAU